ACUCCUACGGGAGGCAGCAGCAGGGAAUCUUGGGCAAUGGGCGAAAGCCUGACCCAGCCNACGUCGCGUGGAGNAAGAAGGCCUUAGGGCUGUAAACUCCUUUUCUGAGGGAAGAGUAAGGACGGNACCUUGGGAAUAAGCACCGGCUAACUCC
rnacentral:rRNA from 1 species